AUGAAUGGAGCCUUUAUUAUGAAGAAACAAGGUAGAGUUGGUGGAGCAUGUGUGUGUUUUGUUGUCCUUAUGGAAGUCAGCCUGACUAGGGUAAGCAGUGUUUUUUGUUCAUGGUAGAUUUAAAAAUCCAUCACCUCAUAAACAUUAACUGGUCCUUGGUUCACUUUCCAGAAGAUGCCCAGAGUAGUGCUCGGUGAACACUUGUGGAGUGGAGAUGAGCUGCCUUCCAGAAAUCAGUCCAGUUGCCAGCAGGAAAUGGAUGGCAUUCCUCAACUGGGGUUUUUGAAGCAACUUUCUAAAGAAGGGACUAUUUGCAAAAGUGUGGGCAGAGACACUAGCAACACCAUGAACAACAUAAAGCCAUUAUCACUCUCAGGCCUUUAAAUUCCAGAUUCCCCAGGGUAGAUACACAUGCUCUGACUGUCGGACCUUGUGGAAUUUUCUCUUGUCCAAAAUGGAAUUUGUAGAUUCUUCACACCUGAAUUUUCUCAAGAAUGAAGAGAACUGACAGGACGUAGACAUGACAUCAUCAUGAUUAAGUUAUAAUUAAUCAUUAAUUGUAGCUGAAGAAUAAAUGUUAUUUCAUGAGGAACAAAACUGUACCAUCAA